rnacentral:lncRNA from 1 species
GAUACAAACACUUGCAGACAGUUAAGCUUAUACCCAGAAAAAAAAUAUAUAUAUAUUGAACCAAAAGCCAAAGAUAACAGAAAACCCAAAAAAAAAAAAAAAAAAAAGGAGCGGAUUGCUCUUCUGCAUUCUCUUGUGAUGAAAUUAUCUAAAGGUCCACGCAUAGGUACGAGAUGACAGUUCCUGCCCUCCUUUUUGUCCGUUCACUUACCUUCCACUUCUCAACCAUGACCUUCUUUAUGUUGGCACAACCAGAAACCACAGUGGCAACUCCUGCUGCAGUAAUACCAGGACAAUAAACCAUGUGACAGGACUCGAGCAUUCUGCAAUUUUUAACAAGAUGGGAUAGACCGACAUCAGUUAUUUGACGACAGUGCGACAACACUACGUCCUUGAGUAGUGGACAGCCUUUUCCUAACUCAACCAUUGCCUGAUCUCCCAAAUUCUGCCGAUCAAGAAAUUUAAAUUUAAUAACACUUUAUGAAAAAUAAAUUGGAAGAUGUACCAAGAAGAGACAGAAAAGGGCUUACCUGGAGAACGCUUACAUCCAGGUAAUUGAGUUCAGGGCAUCCUUUUGCAAUGGCCAUUAUUCCAGCAUCACCUAUUUGAUGGCAGCCACUAACAUUUAGAUGUUGCAAGGAGCAACCCUGGCCUAUGGAAAUGAGGGCCUCAUCCCCCACCCUGUUAAUAUGAAAGAGUGAAUAAGGAAAGCUAGAGAACCAGAGAGGUUUAAUCCACUAAGCUUCCCAAAAAUAUAAACAAUUCUAUCAGAAGUUUAUCUACUGAUACGAAAUCAGCUAGAACAUUAUGGUAGAAGCCAACUUCAAUGAUUCACCAAAUUUCCCCAAAUGGUGUCGAGCAAACAAAGAAGGCUUUGCAGAUCAUGGAUUAUUGCGAUCAUAUAACAUGAAACUACACCAUGACAACUACUGAAUGAAAGAGAAACAAUCAACCAAGUAUCUAUAUGAUACCAAACCAACAUAAAAUAUCUCUCAAGUUAGCAAAUUUAAAUAAUAAGCAUCCCAGGUGGAAAUGGGAAUAACUAUGAAGCUGAGGGGAAAAAAAUUUACCGUACCUGUCACAGAACCUGAGGCUGAGUUCAGUCAGAGAAUUGCAAUGCUCACCCACAGCUACAAUUCCAUUGUUGCCAAUCUAUGAACAAGAACCAUAAAAAGUUAAUAGAUCCUCAAAGGUAAAAUAACAUUUACAUCAUUUAAAUUGAUAACUAAAGAACAUGAGCAGACUGGUUAGAGAAAAUACCAGUUCUUCAGUAAAAUAGGCAGAUACAAACAAAUGACUAAACAAUAAACAACAGACAAAUAAGAAAAAAAACUUUUAUAUUUCUGAAUCGACUGUUUCUUACAUUUCUUAUAAUCGUUUUGCCCAUUUCUAAUUGUCCCAAACCAACAUUCAGGACAGCACUUAAUGUCAAAAAACCAAAAUUGAUCUCUGAAACUGAAAGGAUGUCCUAGAUCAUUAGCUUGGUACAGAGAAUCAUGCCAGAAGUCCAACAUUUUGCACAGAAUUAUAGUAGAAUAGUAAAAGCAAAAAAUAUGUUGCAAAACUUCUUCCGAGUUCAAGCAACAAUCUGUUAACCAUAAAAUCAGUGCCAGGAACUUAGCAAUAUUUUUGUCAUAGUAUCAUGUUAGUUUCUGCAUUCUCUUGUGAUGAAAUUAUCUAAAGGUCCACGCAUAGGUACGAGAUGACAGUUCCUGCCCUCCUUUUUGUCCGUUCACUUACCUUCCACUUCUCAACCAUGACCUUCUUUAUGUUGGCACAACCAGAAACCACAGUGGCAACUCCUGCUGCAGUAAUACCAGGACAAUAAACCAUGUGACAGGACUC